UUUGACACCAUUUGUCUAAGAUGGUGGCGCGACCGGCAAAGAUACGGUUCCCGGACUUUUGCCCAUAAGACGAUCGCUCACACGACAACUGCCCACAGUCAUAAUUGCGCACACGGACAGUUGCUCACAGGGAAUACUCCCCACAGUGACUUUGGCUCACACUGACAAUUGCCCACAGUGACUUUGUGCUGAGCGGCCCCCUGGGGUUCAAACACUCCGUAAUGGAUCCUCGUUGUGAACCGCCCCAAGUAUAAUGUUUUGACAUUUGUGCACAAUCAUCGUUUUGGCAUGUCUCAAAAAAAAAACUGGUUAAUGUAGUAGAUGGUGGCUGAGCAGCUCUUUGUACUAUGUUUUGUGCUGGUAUUUCUCAUGAAUUGAAAAAGAAAAUAUUCGCCAAACUGCUUCAUGACUACUAACAUAACGGCCCAUUUGGUAAUGGGUAACUUCCUCACUGGAAUUCUCUGCACCAAUUCCUAUCACAGCUAUAUCAAUCCCUUUGGUUACAUAUUUGCAAAUGUAUUUAAUAGAUUUUACUGAAUGGCAAGAUUCAACGUUGAUGUGCGCUUCGAAGAUCUUUGAUAGAAUAAUGGAUAACCAUCAUUACCAGUAAUUGUUUCCGAUAUUAUUGUCCGUGGAUAUUGCUUUGAACAUUUACCAUCCACCAUACACGGUGAAUUUGGAUUAAGAGUUUCACAGGGACCAUGUAUCAUGUUUUUGAAUACAGCAGCGUGUCUCACCAAACACUUUAUGUUUUACAAUGAAAUACAUUAAAGAUUUCAACCUUUGUCUAAAGACUCUGGUUGUAAUAUCAUGACGAUCAAUGGGUGAUUGCCCAGGGAAUAACUCUUGCUUGAUUUGUGUCAAACGCUUUUUCAAUGUCUAAUAGGGCCAUGUGUACGAUUUCAUUUUUGUUCCAGGCUUUUUUGACAUCUGUUAUCACUCUGGUCAAUUGAUGUGUAGUGGAGUGUCCCUUUCUAAAGCCAAAUUGCUCAGGCAGCAAUAUAUUUAGCGUGUGUACUUCUUUAUUAAGAUUUGCUAGAAUCGCGUGUUCUGUGAGUUUCCCUAAAGUACUAAGUAAACUUAUAGGACGGUAGCUGCUCGGAUCUUGUUGAGAUUUUUUUGGUUUUAGAAAUGGGAUUACUUCUGCCAAUUUCCACAAUUUUGGAAAAUACCCUAAUCUAAGUAUUGCGUUGACUAUUGUUGUAAAGUGAACAAUUGUCUUUUUCGGAAGGUUUUUGAGUACUAUGUUUUGUAUACCGUCAGGCCCUGGUGCCUUUGUGGCAGGUAAUGUUUUUAUAAUGCGCUUUAUGUCUGCUGGUUUGACGAAAUAUUUUCCGCGAUUUGUAUGUGUCUUCGUAGCAAUAAAUUUAUCAACUUCUUGAGCUAUUUCAAUUUGUUUGUUGGUCAUUCGAUCGUCAAUGGUACAGAUCGAUGCGAAUUUGUUGGCAAGUACAGUUGCUUUGUCAAUAGCUUUAAACGCGAAUCCGUCAUUUGCAUUUUUUAAUGGCGAUACCGUAUUGUUAGAAUGUUUGAUGGACGCUAAUAAUUUCCAAAUUGAGUUGUUUUUAGGUGUUAAUGUUUUUAAGCGGUUUGACCACGCUUCGUUUUUAUGUUCCUGAAUUUCGUUUUUAAUUUCAAGGGAGAGGUGUGUAUAUUUCCGGAGUAGAGUUGGAUCUCCAUUGCGUUGGUACCUAUCUUCGGCGAAUUGCAUUUCUAUGUUUUAUUUUAGUCAGUGUUUGUGUGGGUAUUUCGUCAAAGGAACGUUUGUAAAUGCGCUUUCGUUUAAUGUAAGUAUUCAUGGCUGUGAUUAUAUUGUCUGUGAGUAUUUGAACUUGGGUGUCUAAGUCUGUUGCCGAGUUUAUUGAAUUGGGAAUUUCCGUAAUUUCGAUCAUUUUUUUCCGAAAUGAAUUCCAGUCUGCGCUGUGGUAGUCCCAUCUGUGAAUGAUUUCGUUUUCGUGCGCGAGUCGGUAAUUGAAAUCGAAUAAAACAGGCAGAUGGUCAGAGUUAAGCUCAUUCAUGGUUGUGGCUUUUCCCGCAAUAUUUUUAGUGAGACCAAUAUCCAGGGUGGACGGUUUAUUGCCAUUACUUGGAUAAGUAUGCAAGCAUUGCUUGCGCUCACAUAAUUCAUAACGACAUUCCCAUUUACAUCAUUUGAGAAACAAUUCCAAAGUCUAUGUUAACAUUAAGGUCGUUGGCAAGAAUUGUAUUUUUAGUAAUUCCAGAUGAUUUAAGUUAUUAUCUACUAUUUGAACAAUGAUUGAUGAUUGUAUCCCUGGGAGCUUUACGGCA